UAUAUACAUACACACAAAACAUUUUUAUUAUUCAUAUUUUAAUUGAAAACACAGCCACCCACCCCUCUGAAAAAAUGAAGAAAAACUAAAAAGAGGUAUGUUUCAAUCUCCAUUUGGACUCCUUCAGUUCAUCCUCUACAGAUGGAUAGCAUUUUUCAUCCAAAGUCCUUCAGAAUUUCCUUGAUUUCCUUGAAUCUUUGUACUUUUAAUGAAAUAUAAAGAUCUCCCCCUGUACAUUUAUAGGCCUAUAUGACUACAUAUGUUGUCCUUUCUCCUUGGAACAGGGGCCAUGUUCCCAGGCCUAAAAGGUAAGAUUAUACCUGGCCUAUUCCUCGUCCUGGAAAGGUUGGCCAGGCUUCCAUGGAAUCAUUCCUGUAUUGUUUUGAACACAGACAUUUUGCCAAAUGGUCACACAUCUCUUGCUUCUGUGAACUCAGGCCCAGUCCACAGCUACAGUACAUCCUAUGCUGAGUCACAUAGAGCCCUGGCACUUAAUCAGGUGAUGAGUCAUGUAGACUCUGGCACUGAGCCUGUCAGUUGCUAAAUCAUGCUGUGCAAGAUUUUCUUCUUUUUCUGAAACUAGAUAUAUUUGGAAAAACUUGAUGUUUUUCUUUGGGGCUUCCCUCAUGGGGAGGAUGCUCUGCCGAAGGUGUUCACUGCCAGGACUCUAGGAGUUAAAAUAAAGGGCGCCCCCAGCACGUGAACCAAGAUGUUGGUGCUUCCCCGAAUUGCCGAUGUAUGUUAAUAUUUUUAUUACUCUGGCUCUUUUAGGUACUAUCUUACUUGGAUACGGGGUGAUAGUGGAUUCAUGCACUCCAGGAGCAAGGCUGGCACCAAUAAACAUGCAAGUCAAUGGAACUAUGCUACUGAACACCAAUAAUACUUUACACUUUGGAUGGGUGAAUAGUACAUGCAGCAGGCAACAAGACAACCACAUAAGCUCAGCAUUCUUUCCACGCAUCACUACAAACAUUACCCUGAUGAGCCUGGAUAUGAAAAUGUGGAAAAGGACACACCCUGUGUAUGAGCGUUGGAAUGUUUCAUCUCCAAUAUCUAUUAAGUGUUGCAGUCUAUCGUCUUUAUAGCCCCAGUUUGAUCCCUGUAAACAUAUUAAAAUUGUGCAGAAUGUGCUGAUAAAAGUGCCCCUGUGUUCAAUGGUACCAGUGGAAGCUUUAAGAACCAAGCCCCUAUAAUAUUUUGCUUAAAUGGAUCUGAAAUAUAUACAGGGGGAUGCUGGGCGAACUAUAUAUGAGUAUUAUCUACUGAUGUGCCUGACCCCACUUGCAAUCAUAUUAGAAGCAUACCAAAGAGUUGUGUGAUUGUGACACAAAAUUAUCAAAAACACGUUACAUUUCAUUACUUCUUUCCCUGUUCUACAACAAUGUAAUCAGAAAAAGAGGGCAUUGUAUGAUACAAUACUUGGUGGACCAGGAACAUGUGUGAUACAGUAAAUAGUGUAGUUCUUGAGACCUUAGCCAGCAGACUACGCAGUGCUGGAAAAUAUGUUGCUCAAGCUUUGACAAUUAAUGCCGAACACACAACAAUCCUAACCCACCAACAUACAUUAGACUAUCAGAAGGAUUUUUUCCAAUUGUUCACUCUCCUUUAACUAAUUUGCAAAUAUAUAUGAAUGUUUCUAAAUUGUUCAGUUGAAGGGCUUGGUAACUACAAAACACGUAUGCCUAGAUACAGAAAGAGAAUGUGCAAAGACAAUUGAGUUCACAAGAUGAAAAACUGGCAUAACAUGUUUUCCUUACAUAUACCAAAGACCAAUUGAAUUUCAUUAGAAUUUGAGAACUUCAAAUGUGAAGAUACUUAUGUGUAGGAACUAUAACACAUUAUCAGAUCUUCUCAUCUCAUGAUGUGUGCAUUUUAUACUAUUCUUUUUGUUCUGUUUUCUUAUUUUGCUAUACCUUGUAUACAUGGAAAUUAUGUUGAUCAUUGUAAUAAUACUAAUUUUUAUCUGAUUAUAUUACUACUAGCAAUAUUAAAGUGUGUAUCAUUAUCACUAGACAGAGGGAGCCCUGUCUAUUGAAUCACUCA